UACGUAGGGGGCUAGCGUUGUCCGGAAUCAUUGGGCGUAAAGCGCGUGUAGGCGGUCCGGUAAGUCCGCUGUGAAAGUCGGGGGCUCAACCCUCGAAUGCCGGUGGAUACUGUCGGGCUAGAGUGCGGAAGAGGCGAGUGGAAUUCCUGGGUGAUAGCGGUGGAAAUACGCAGAUAUCAGGAGGAACACCAAUUGCGAAGGCAGCUCGCUGGGACGUUACUGACGCUGGAGAACGCGAAAGCGUGGGGAGCAAACAGG
rnacentral:rRNA from 1 species